rnacentral:rRNA from 1 species
CGGCGAGUGAAGCGGCAACAGCUCAAAUUUGAAAUCUGGCCCCCCGCGGGCCCGAGUUGUACUUUGGAGAGGACGCUUCUGGCGCGGCGCCGUCCGAGUUCCCUGGAACGGGACGCCGGAGAGGGUGAGAGCCCCGUACGGGCGGCCGCCUAGCCUCUGCGAAGCUCCUUCGACGAGUCGAGUAGUUUGGGAAUGCUGCUCAAAAUGGGAGGUAAAUUUCUUCUAAAGCUAAAUACCGGCCAGAGACCGAUAGCGCACAAGUAGAGUGAUCGAAAGAUGAAAAGCACUUUGAAAAGAGGGUCAAACAGUACGUGAAAUUGUUGAAAGGGAAGCGCCUGUGGCCAGACUUGCGCCCCGCGGACCACCCGGCGCCUCGCGCGCCGGGGCACGCCAGCGGGGCGCAGGCCAGCAUCGGCUCUCUCGGGGGGACAAAGGCCGCGGGAACGUAGCGCCCUCGCGGCGUAUUAUAGCCCGCGGCGCCAUGCCCCCGGGGGGGCCGAGGACCGCGCUCCGGCAAGGAUGCUGGCGUAAUGGCCACCGGCGACCCGUCUUGAAACACGGACCAAGGAGUCAAGCAUUGGGGCGAGUGUCUGGGUGGCAAGCCCGCACGCGGAAUGAAAGUGAACGCAGGUGGGAGCUUCGGCGCACCACCGACCGAUCCUGAUGUCCUCGGAUGGAUUUGAGUAGGAGCCCCGCCGCUUGGACCCGAAAGAUGGUGAACUAUGCCUGUAUAGGGUGAAGCCAGAGGAAACUCUGGUGGAGGCCCGCAGCGGUUCUGACGUGCAAAUCGAUCGUC